rnacentral:rRNA from 1 species
UAACACAUGCAAGUCGAACGCCCCUUCGGGGGAGUGGCAGACGGGUGAGUAACGCGUGGGAACGUACCUUUCGGUUCGGAAUAGCCCCGGGAAACUGGGUGUAAUACCGGAUACGUCCUUAGGGAGAAAGAUUUAUCGCCGAAAGAUCGGCCCGCGUUAGAUUAGCUAGUUGGUGGGGUAAAAGCCUACCAAGGCUACGAUCUAUAGCUGGUCUGAGAGGAUGAUCAGCCACACUGGGACUGAGACACGGCCCAGACUCCUACGGGAGGCAGCAGUGAGGAAUCUUGGACAAUGGGCGCAAGCCUGAUCCAGCCAUGCCGCGUGAAUGAUGAAGGCCUUAGGGUUGUAAAAUUCUUUCAGCAGGGAAGAUAAUGACGGUACCUGCAGAAGAAGCCCCGGCUAACUCCGUGCCAACAGG